rnacentral:rRNA from 1 species
GAUGAACGCUGGCGGCGUGCCUAAUACAUGCAAGUCGAGCGAAUGGAUUAAGAGCUUGCUCUUAUGAAGUUAGCGGCGGACGGGUGAGUAACACGUGGGUAACCUGCCCAUAAGACUGGGAUAACUCCGGGAACCCGGGGCUAAUACCGGAUAACAUUUUGAACCGCAUGGUUCGAAAUUGAAAGGCGGCUUCGGCUGUCACUUAUGGAUGGACCCGCGUCGCAUUAGCUAGUUGGUGAGGUAACGGCUCACCAAGGCAACGAUGCGUAGCCGACCUGAGAGGGUGAUCGGCCACACUGGGACUGAGACACGGCCCAGACUCCUACGGGAGGCAGCAGUAGGGAAUCUUCCGCAAUGGACGAAAGUCUGACGGAGCAACGCCGCGUGAGUGAUGAAGGCUUUCGGGUCGUAAAACUCUGUUGUUAGGGAAGGACAAGUGCUAGUUGAAUAAGCUGACACCUUGACGGUACCUAACCAGAAAGCCACGGCUAACUACGUGCCAGCCGCCGCGGUAA